GGCGCCUCUGCCGGCUCACAGCCCUCGGAGCGCCCCCGCGGGGCAGACCACCUGGACCCCCGCCGCAGCCCCCCAGCGGAAGCGCGCUGGGGCGGGGACACUGAUGGCCAAUGACCCCCGGAGGGCUUCCUGUAAGAAGGGACUGCUCCGCGGAGGCCCGAAGGCGCAGAAGUGGGCGGAGAGAAAGGCGGGCCACUGUUCGCCCUGACCAUGAACCCGUCCUGACCCAGGCUCUGACCUCCUUCCUGCCCAGGUACCUGCUGGAGCAGCGAGACGUGGAGGUGAAUGUGCGGGACAAGUGGGACAGCACCCCCUUGUACUAUGCCUGCUUGUGUGGGCACGAGGAGCUGGUACUCUACCUUCUGGCCAAUGGAGCCCGCUGCGAGGCCAACACCUUCGAUGGUGAGCGCUGCCUCUAUGGGGCACUGAGUGACCCCAUCCGCCGGGCUCUACGUGAUUACAAGCAGGUCACGGCUUCCUGCAGGAGGCGGGAUUACUAUGACGACUUCUUGCAGCGGCUUCUAGAGCAGGGCAUCCACAGUGACGUGGUCUUUGUAGUACACGGGAAGCCAUUCCGGGUGCAUCGCUGCGUCCUGGGUGCACGUAGUGCCUACUUUGCGAACAUGCUGGACACCAAAUGGAAGGGCAAGAGUGUCGUGGUUCUCAGGCACCCACUGAUCAACCCCGUGGCCUUUGGGGCCCUGCUGCAGUACCUGUACACAGGCCGCCUGGACAUUGGCGUAGAGCAUGUGAGUGACUGUGAGCGCCUGGCCAAGCAAUGCCAGCUGUGGGACCUGCUCAGCGACCUGGAGGCCAAGUGCGAGAAGGUGUCUGAGUUUGUGGCGUCUAAGCCAGGCACGUGUGUGAAGGUGCUGACCAUCGAGCCCCCACCUGCAGACCCCCGCCUCCGGGAGGACAUGGCGCUGCUGGCCGAUUGUGCCCUGCCCCCCGAGCUCCGAGGUGAUCUUUGGGAGCUGCCCUUCCCUUGUCCUGACGGCUUCAACAGCUGCCCUGACAUCUGCUUCCGAGUGGCUGGCUGCAGCUUCCUCUGCCACAAGGCCUUUUUCUGUGGCCGCAGUGACUACUUCCGAGCCCUGCUGGAUGACCACUUCCGAGAGAGCGAGGAGCCAGCGACCUCAGGGGGCCCCCCAGCCGUCACCCUGCAUGGCAUCUCACCCGACGUCUUCACUCACGUGCUCUACUACAUGUACAGCGACCACACUGAGGUGGGGGCUCAGGCAGAGCUGGGGAUGGCACACAACCUGUGCUGCCGUGGGCUGAGAGGGAGCGCCAGGGCCCUGGGGGUCUGUGGAAGGGCCCAGCUGGCCCCAUGGUUGACGUUUUGAGAAGGCUGGAGGGGAAGGCUGUGGGACUUUGGAUUUUUCUUUCAGGUAGAGGAAGCCUUGUUGGGCUCCAGAGAGAGGAUGAGUGAUGAGCUUGUGUCACAGACACUCCACACUUGUCAGCCACUUGGGAUCCUCAGCUUCUCUAGCAGGAGGGUGGAGGGUGGGUGGGGACAGCCUCCUCUCUGUGGUGCUGCAGAUCCCUGGGGUUCUGGGUUCCCAGUCUCCUCUUCCCUUGCUGCCUGCCUCUGUCUCCAGCUGUCCCAAGGUGUCCGUAAGCCAAGGCUGCAGGGCAGCAGCAGAGUGCUGAAGGUUUGCUCUGCCAGGGUGUGUGAGAGAGAGAGAGUGUGUGUGUGUGCGUGCGCGUGCGCGCGCACUAUAAAGCGAUCCCCAUAUCUGGUGGCUUAAAGAAGAGGGGAGUUUGUUUCUCCUUCACUUCUGACUGAGGUGGGUGCCCCAGGGCAAGUGGCUUGCGGAAGAUCAGGUCAUCCCUCCAUCUUGCCCCUGUAUGCCUAAGGGUGAAGGUCAAAAACCUUUUCUCUAAAGGUGAGUGUUUCAGGUUCUGUGGGCCAUAUGGCCCUGUUGUAGCUACUGAACUCUGUAGCGCAAAGGUAGCCAGAGACAGUACAGAGAUGAGUGGGUGAGGCUGCAUUCCAAUAAAACUUUACUUGCACAAACAGGCUGGAUUUGGUCCACAGGCCGUAGCUUACCCAUCCUGCCUGGGGCAUCGCCUUUGGCCAUGGAGAUUGGGUCCUAGGCAAACUCAUGCUCUAGGAGGAAGAGGAAGGCAAGGCAAGCAAUGCUGUUUUUGUAGAAGCCACCGGAAAUUGCACCACUUCUCAUGUUCCCCUGGAGAGAACUUCGUGCCUACCUGCCAACAAGGGAGGCUUGGAAAGUCAUUCUGUGGCCAGGGCCCUGUUUUGUGGGGGAAGGGGAGGAAGCAUGCUGGGAGACAGAGGGCAGUCCCUACUGCUGCUCUAUCUCCAGUGGCAGCUCCCUUGUCCAUCCCUCCCCGCGGCCUGACAGCCCCUCAGCCUCCAUCUUUCCCACCCCCUCUACUGGGCAUCUCCUGCAGCUCAGCCCAGCUCUCUGGCCCCUGUAGCAGGGGUUACCUUUGCCCACCCUGGAGAAGCUCCCUCUUCAAGGAGCCUCACCACCCCAAGGGCACCUUGUCUCAGAGUGUGGCUUGGGCUCCUAACCUGGGUUGAUACUGGUUGAGCUGUGUGACACUGGGUGAGCUUUGUGAUCUUGGGCCAGUUACUUAACUGCUCUGUGCCUCUAGAACAUGGGGAUAGCGCUCGUCGUCGUUUCCUAAGGCCUUGUGCAGAUGCAUGGGUUACCCAGGUAAAGGAGGUGGCAUGGCACAUGGCACGUGGCCUGUAAUGUGGUCGCAGAGCUCCCCUUGUCUCUGUCUGCAGCUUGCUCCCUGUGCCACCCAGGCUCUGGCCUGAAUCUGAGGGCUUCAGUCUUGUCUAGCACAGGAUGUACCUGUAGGUGGGCUCUGUGUCCCCACAGCCUCUUGAGAGGGAGGGAGCUGGUAGAUAGUCUCCCAUCCCUGGCAGGGUCCCUGCAUGGGUCUUGACUAGCUGCCUCUGUCCCUCCAUUCUGACAGCCCCCGCAGGUAGGCAUGGUUAUCUAUACCUCAUGGACUGGGAACUAGAGGCACAGGGAGGUGCAGUGACUUGCCCAGGGCCCCACAGCUAGAAGUGUCAGACCCAGGUCUGUGUAACUCGGAGCUCAGACCCUGGCUCCUGCGAGGGCCCUGCCUCCUGCGAGAGCCCUGCCUCCCGCCUGCCCUGCCAGCCUGCUCAGGGCAUGGGAGAACCCCCGAGUCUUCUGCCCCCUAGCAGUCCUGCAGAUCCCUGUGGGAAUCUGGGCCAGCCCCCCGACCCCCAACCCCAUACAUGCGCAGGGAGCUCCUACUCCCACUGGAAGCCUUCCCGCCAGUGCCCCCCAACCACCGCAGGCCCUAGCCUUGGCUGUUGUGCCCUGGGAGCCCUUGGUGACCUCGGGGGGCACCAUCAUCCCUGUCUUCACUGCAGCUGUCCCCCGAGGCAGCCUAUGAUGUGCUGAGCGUCGCCGACAUGUACCUGCUGCCAGGCCUGAAGAGGCUGUGCGGCCGCAGCCUGGCUCAGGUGCUAGACGAGGACACUGUGGUGGGUGUGUGGCGCGUGGCCAAGCUCUUCCGCCUGGCGCGGCUUGAGGACCAGUGCACUGAGUACAUGGCCAAGGUCAUUGAGAAGCUGGUGGAGCGGGAGGACUUCGUGGAGGCGGUGAAGGAGGAGGCAGCGGCUGUGGCAGCCCGGCAGGAGACGGACUCUAUCCCGCUGGUGGACGACAUCCGCUUCCACGUGGCCAGCACGGUGCAGACCUACAGCGCCAUAGAGGAGGCGCAGCAGCGUCUGCGGGCACUCGAGGACCUGCUCAUGUCCAUCGGUCUGGACUGUUGAGCCCCUGGCUGGGCAGCCCCAGGGGCCAGGAGCUCUCUUGGAGACAAGCAUGUGUAUGCGUUUGUGUGCAGCUCUUCUUCCUGCUCCCUGCACAUUGAGGGCUUCAUGGGGGGUGCAAGGGGCUCAGUGGGGCUUCUCUUCCCUCCAUGAGCCUGGAGACCCCAGGGGAGGAUCCAUUUGGGAUGAGCCCCCUCCCCCCAAUGCACAAGCCAGCCCCCAAGACCCUGGGGGUGGGCACCACUCAGGGAAACCUGGGGUGGGGGUGGGCUUUGGUCUUAGCACUUUCCUUCUCCAGAUCCCCCCUACCCACCCCAGUCCCAAAUCCAGUCCUCUGGCCCUUGCCUAGCCCUGAAUUGCUUCUCUAAGCUGGUGUUCCCAUGCACAGGGCCAUUCAGGAAGGGCUGGGGGAGUGUGUGUGGCAAUAAAGCUUGAAGGCACCGUG